GUACACUUGGGUGUGGAAAUCCCACUGAAAGGGCUCGGUCUUUGUCAGAUCGCUAUAGGCAAGGGAGGUUAGGGCAAAUCUUUGUGGUUCCACAUAACUCAGGUGCUCAUUGGAUGUUGACGGUUGUGAACCCAAAUGAAGAAGUCGUGCACUUCAUGGAUCCACUUAAAAGGCGACUCGAUACUGGGGAAUGGAAAUCUAUUGUCAACAACUCCAUUAAAAUCUAUAAUGC